ensembl:lncRNA
CUGAUCCUCACCACCUCAGGGCCAAUCCUCACAACUGGAUCCUCUCCUGCAGCUCCUGGCACUGUCACUCCUGCCCAGGGGACAGGAACAAAGAUAGGGACAUGGGAUAGGGCCGGCUCUGGAGAGGGGCUGCCUUGCUCUGCCAGUGAUAAAUCUAGCGGUCCCCUCGCUUUUUCAUCACUUGCCUAAUCCCGUGCCCUUCUUUUCAUGUGCCGUAAUUGCUCCCAGCUGCUCCCACAGCCCAACCGUGCAGAGAUUGUGAACAAGGCCCUGCAGAACAAUGGCAAUGGCUGCUCCGCGUUGCCUCUGGCCUGUGCCUCCUGCAGCCCACAUCUGCCCUGCUGUAUCCCAUUUGGGGAGCGGGCCUGUCCCCCUGACCUUGCUCCAGGCUGAGGAGGGUCCUGGGAGGCACAGUGCCCCUAAAACAAUAGCAAAUGUUACGAGAAAAAAAGCAAAACGACAACGUCGCCAUUGCCAGGGAGAGAGCAGCCCUCAGGUUGGAUUCCACACGCACUGAUCCCCAUAGGCCAUGAUGUGACCAGAGCCUUCAAGAUCAGCCCUUCACCUUCUAACAUGAGUUCUUCCUCCCCUCCCCAAUCAUUUUUCCCCCUGAGAAAGGCUGCAUUCUUUCCCAAAAAGGAGAUUCCUAAUCAGUACAGUAUAUAUUUUCUAUAAUUGCCCUUUGGCAUUCCUUGUCUUUCCUGGCUAAUUAAAGUGAAAGAAGGCUGUGGUGAAAUGUUCCAGUGUGUUUUCAUAGGAACAGAAAAACUAAAAACCCCUUUUGUUUAGAAAUGCGGGGUUAUCUUAAUGGUCCAGAGGGUCAGCUGUUCUCACAGGUACACUGCUAAAAUGUAGUACUAUUUUUCUUUCUGAAGCACGGCUGCAGCUCUGGGAGCAGCUCUGGGAGGCUGCAUAGGAAUGCGGUCCCGUCUCACAGUGUGACAGCCCUAGACCAAGGUAUUUCAGAUUAAAACACUUGCUUUCACAGCACCUUGAAUGCACGACCUAUUUUUAAAACUCAAGAUUACUCAAGCCAAACUUUGGCUUUUAAGUUCCUGAUUUCUAGAGGUGACACCACCACAGCUGUUACUGAGGUGGGAUUUGCCGCCCUGCCCCACACUCAGUGUGAAGUUUGUGUUAAUGUUUUAUCCAGGCACAAAGGCAUCUGAAGGAUUGUAAGAGCAAUCCCUCCACAGGAAUGGCUUGAAUGUAUUCACAGUGCCACACACCUCCGGAAAGCAGGAUGUGCUUCUUAUUAGCAGCUGAGGACGGCUUGCUGAAAGGCUGCCAGCAUUUUCUUAUGAGAGAGAGCAUUACAUGCACUUAGUGAGUACAUGUGCAUAUAUAGAUAUAUAUAUUUCUAAUGUGUACGUAAUGUUGUUUCUUGGCAUUUAUUUGGGAAAGGCUAGGUGGCACUGGGCAGUUCUUGCUGUGUCAGUUCUUAUUUGCUCUCACGUUCUGUUUAUGUGAAUGCUCACACUGCAUGGGGCAAGAGCAUGUCCUCUGCUACUGAGGACAAGAAACCUCCCAGGUCUU